CGGACUGGCUGAGGGACUGGUGGAGCUGACGGACUGGCUGAGGGACUGGUGGAGCUGACGGACUGGUGGAGCUGACGGAGCUGACUGACUGGUGGAGGAGAUAAUAAUAACAUGACACCUGCUGACCCACUUAUGAUGGCGUCAGCGAAUAGGACCUGCAUCGCCGUAAAAUGGACUUAGGACUUCAACCGAGGGAGAAGACGGACUGGCUGAGGGACUGGUGGAGCUGACGGACUGGCUGAGGGACUGGUGGAGCUGACGGACUGGUGGAGCUGACGGAGCUGACUGACUGGUGGAGGAGAUAAUAAUAACAUGACACCUGCUGACCCACUUAUGAUGGCGUCAGCGAAUAGGACUUGCAUCGCCGUUAAAUGGACUUAGGACUUCAACCGAGGGAGAAGACGGACUGGCUGAGGGACUGGUGGAGCUGACGGACUGGCUGAGGGACUGGUGGAGCUGACGGACUGGCCGAGGGACUGCUGGAGCUGACGGACUGGUGGAGCUGACGGAGCUGACGGACUGGUGGAGGAGAUAAUAAUAACGUGACACCUGCUGACCCACUUAUGAUGGCGUCAGCGAAUAGGACCUGCAUCGCCGUAAAAUGGACUUAGGACUUCAACCGAGGGAGAAGACGGACUGGCUGAGGGACUGGUGGAGCUGACGGACUGGCUGAGGGACUGGUGGAGCUGACGGACUGGUGGAGCUGACGGAGCUGACGGACUGGUGGAGGAGAUAAUAAUAACAUGACACCUGCUGACCCACUUAUGAUGGCGUCAGCGAAUAGGACUUGCAUCGCCGUAAAAUGGACUUAGGACUUCAACCGAGGGAGAAAACGGACUGGCUGAGGGACUGGUGGAGCUGACGGACUGGCUGAGGGACUGGUGGAGCUGACAGACUGGUGGAGCUGACGGAGCUGACGGACUGGUGGAUGAGAUAAUAAUAACAUGACACCUGCUGACCCACUUAUGGGCUGACGUCUCAGUCACUUUUGGUCGUAGCACCCGGACAUUUCCAGAGGUCUCCCCACCAUCAGCAGUAGGUCUUGCCAGUACUAGAGAGAAUUCUUCUGCAGUCAUCCUUGAGGUAGACGGCUUCUGUUCAGUGUCUCCACAGUUCAUGCUACUCAGCUGUAGACCUUUGUUCAAUGGGAUGCUGCCAAGAGAAAAUCUAGAAGACUUUUUAUUGUGCUCUCCUUCCAUAGUUGUGCAGUUGAAGUGAAUUGUGUAAAAGUAAGUGUUUUUCUGAGGAUUACCAAAAAUUUGAUACCUAUUUAUAUUAAACUUGGCAUUUCAAAGAAUGCGGAAAAUGCCUGUCAACAACCCCAGAAAUUCCUGGAUUCACAGAAGUGACACAGAAGUCAAGCUUGUCUCUACUGGAAUGUUGUGUAUUGGACAAUAUACAAGCCUGCCAGAGGCUGGACCAGACAGUGGCACAUUUUAGCACAAGAUAUCUUUGGAGCCACAGGUCAUAAAAUUGUAAAUUACCUAUCAUUUUGUUUGUUAAAUUAUAGCCUUUUAGAAAAGUAAAAAUUUGACAGGUUCAGAAUUUUUGUU
rnacentral:lncRNA from 1 species